rnacentral:lncRNA from 1 species
CUGAAAGCGAGGGCCGAAGGCCCGAGGAAAUUUUUAAAUUUAGAGUCUCUGAAAUGCCAUUUCCUGGACCCUGCAGUCCCCCAGCCCCCCCCUCCUCCAGUUGCUACAUACGGCCCUGGGCUACACGCGGAAAUGCACCGAAUGGCAAAUAAGGAUUACCACUCGAAAAUCUUGCUCGAUAUUUUUUUUCGUCCGUUUAUUCUUGCACGAUAUUUUUUUUAAGUUCGAAUUGCUUGCUCGAUAUUUUUUUGGGGAUUCUACCCACCCCCCCAUCAAAAAUCAAAUGGUCCGUCCCUUAGUAAUAAGGUUUAACACAGUGGCAUCAGCUGUUGCAUUGGAAUUGGUAUUUUAUAUAUUAUAAUAUUUACACGCAUGC